GCUUGUAUAGCUCAAUUGGUAGAGCAUCUGUUUUGUAAUCAGAGGGUUGCGGGUUCAAGUCCUGCUGCAAGCACCA
rnacentral:tRNA from 2 species